GUGGGGAAUCUUCCGCAAUGGACGAAAGUCUGACGGAGCGACGCCGCGUGAGUGAAGAAGGCCUUCGGGUCGUAAAGCUCUGUCAUCAGGGACGAACGGCCGGUGGAGUGGAAAGCCACCGGAUUGACGGUACCUGAGAAGGAAGCCACGGCUAACUACGUGCCAGCAGCCGCGGUAAUACGUAGGUGGCAAGCGUUGUCCGGAAUUAUUGGGCGUAAAGCGCGCGCAGGUGGGAUCUUAAGUCCAUUUUUAAAGUUCGGAGCUCAACUCCGUGAUGGGAUGGAAACUGGGAUUCUUGAGUACCGGAGAGGAAAGCGGAAUUCCCCGUGUAGCGGUGAAAUGCGUAGAGAUUUGGAAGAACACCAGUGGCGAAGGCGACUUUCUGGACGAUGUCUGACGCUGAGGCGCGAAAGCUAGGGGAGCGAACGGGAUUAGAUACCCUGGUAGUCC
rnacentral:rRNA from 1 species